rnacentral:rRNA from 1 species
AUUCUUAAACUUAAAAUAUGCGCUUAAAUAUUAUAAGUUAUGUUCUUUAAAUUUAAAGGAUUUGGCGGUAAUUUAGUCCAGUUGGAGGAACCUGUUUUUUAAAUGAUGAUCCUCGUAAAAUCUUACCUGUUUUAGUUUUAGCUUGUAUACCGUCAUUAUUAGAUAAUUUUGAUAAAUCUAAUUGUUUAAAUAUAAUUACUAUAGUAUAUUAGAUCAAGGUGCAGCUUAUAAAUAGGUUAAAAUGGGUUACAGUAAAAUUUAUUUACUAUGGAUAAGAAAUUGAAAUUUUUUUUGAAAGUGGAUUUAAUUGUAAAUUUAAGUUAAUAAGUUAAGUUGAUAGUGGCCCUAGAUUAUGUACAUAUCGCCCGUCGCUUUCAUUUUUAAGAUGAAACAAGUCGUAACAUAG